rnacentral:rRNA from 1 species
ACACGCAUGACACACUGCAUAUCAAUAAGCGGAGGAAAAGAAACUAACAAGGAUUCCCUUAGUAACGGCGAGUGAAGCGGGAAGAGCUCAAAUUUGAAAUCUUCAAGGGUUAUACCUUGACGAAUUGUAGUUUAUAAGAAGUGUUUUCUGUUAGUAGAGGUGGCUAAAAGUUCUUUGGAAUAGGACAUCAUAGAGGGUGAGAAUCCCGUAUUUGGUCAUUCCUCCUAGCGUUGUGAUACACUUUCAACGAGUCGGAUUGUUUGGGAAUGCAGUCCAAAAUGGGUGGUAAAUUUCAUCUAAAGCUAAAUAUUGGCGAGAGACCGAUAGCGAACAAGUACCGUGAGGGAAAGAUGAAAAGAACUUUGAAAAGAGAGUUAAACAGUACGUGAAAUUGUCAAAAGGGAAGCGUUUGACACCAGUGUUGUUUUUCCGAAAAUCAAUUACGAAUGUUUUAUUUUUGAGGAGUUAUGACUUCAUCGGCUUGCUCCUUUCUUUAUGAAACUUUCUUAAUGCACUUUUCGGUUAACAAGUCAACAUCAAUUUCUUUUGUUGUAAAAGGGUAUGAGGAAGGUGGCUUUCUUUUCGGAGAAAGUGUUUAUAGCCUUGUGCCUCUGCAAUCGGAGAGAUUGAGGUCUGCAGCGUAGAUCCUUCGGGGUUAGAUACAUUUGUGCUAAGUUAUAGCUUUUCAUAGACAACUUGUUGACUAUGUUUAGUCUUGUAGCUUACUCGCUUAUGCUAUUUUACCUACGCUUAGGAUGUUGAAGAUGUAGCACAUCAU